AGCCUAAGGAAUUAAUCUUAGGUUAAACCUGCCCAAUGUAUUUAAUMAAUGAAUGGCCGCGGUACUUUAACCGUGCUAAGGUAGCGCAAUCAAUUGGCUUUUAACUGGAGUCAUGUAUGAAUGGAAUCACGUGGUUUAGCUGUCUCUUAAUUAAUCUAUUGAAAUUACUAUGUAAGUGAAAAAGCUUACUAUAAGAAAAAAGACGAGAAGACCCUUAGAGUUUUACUUAUUUAGAAUAUUUUUCUAAGCAGUUUUGUUGGGGCAACAAAGGAACAGUAAUAUAAUCUCCUUAAAUUUUUACUAACCGAUUAUAAUAAAUAUGAAUAAACUACCUUAGGGAUAACAGCAUAAUUUUAUAAAUAAGUUUGUGACCUCGAUGUUGGAUUAGGAAACUUAAAGGCUAGCCGCCUUUUAGGUAAGUUCUGUUCGAACUAUUAUUCCU
rnacentral:rRNA from 1 species